GACGGAGGAUGCAAGCGUUAUCCGGAAUGAUUGGGCGUAAAGCGUCCGCAGGUGGCAGUUCAAGUCUGCUGUCAAAGACCGGGGCUUAACUUCGGAAAGGCAGUGGAAACUGAACAGCUAGAGUAUGGUAGGGGCAGAGGGAAUUCCUGGUGUAGCGGUGAAAUGCGUAGAUAUCUGGAGGAAUACCGGUGGCGAAGGCGGCAUCCUGGACCGGCAUUGACGCUGAGGAGCGAAAGCCAGGGGAGCAAACGGG
rnacentral:rRNA from 1 species